rnacentral:rRNA from 1 species
CCUACGGGUGGCAGCAGUGAGGAAUAUUGGUCAAUGGACGAGAGUCUGAACCAGCCAAGUAGCGUGAAGGAUGACUGCCCUAUGGGUUGUAAACUUCUUUUAUAUGGGAAUAAAAUGUUCCACGUGUGGGAUUUUGUAUGUACCAUAUGAAUAAGGAUCGGCUAACUCCGUGCCAGCAGCCGCGGUAAUACGGAGGAUCCGAGCGUUAUCCGGAUUUAUUGGGUUUAAAGGGAGCGUAGGUGGAUUGUUAAGUCAGUUGGGAAAGUUUGCGGCUCAACCGUAAAAUUGCAGUUGAAACUGGCAGUCUUGAGUACAGUAGAGGUGGGCGGAAUUCGGGGUGUAGCGGUGAAAUGCUUAGAUAUCACGAAGAAGUCCGAUUGCGAAGGCAGCUCACUGGACUGCAACUGACACUGAGGCUCGAAAGUGUGGGUAUCAAACAGGAUUAGAUACCCGGGUAGUC